CGCGUAGGAAACUACCCAGUAGUGGGGGACAACAGUUGGAAACGACUGCUAAUACCGCAUACGCUCUACGGAGGAAAGGGGGCUUCGGCUCUCGCUAUUGGAUGUGCCUGCGUGAGAUUAGCUAGUUGGUGGGGUAAAGGCCUACCAAGGCAACGAUCUCUAGCUGGUCUGAGAGGAUGAUCAGCCACACUGGGACUGAGACACGGCCCAGACUCCUACGGGAGGCAGCAGUGGGGAAUAUUGCACAAUGGGGGAAACCCUGAUGCAGCCAUGCCGCGUGUGUGAAGAAGGCCUUCGGUU
rnacentral:rRNA from 1 species